UAAAAACCACAAACUACUGUUGUUAACCCAACAUACUAUAUUUCAAACCAUAUACCUAGUUUACAUUCAGCCACUGCCAUUGCUACUCGCGCUGCCGUAUUUACUCCUCAAAAUACUCCUGUGACAGCGUCGACGGCAGUGAGUGUUUACAUUGCCCUGCUAAUUAUAGCAGCGCGAGCAGCAAUUGCCGGUUAUGUUGAUGCUCAGUUUACCGCUCUUGACGGGAGCGUUGGGCAGCGUCAGUGCGAGGAGCAUGAUCAGCG